UACGAAGGGUGCAAGCGUUACUCGGAAUUACUGGGCGUAAAGCGUGCGUAGGUGGUUUUUUAAGUCCGUUGUGAAAUCCCCGGGCUCAACCUGGGAAUGGCAGUGGAUACUGGAAGGCUGGAGUGCGGUAGAGGGGUGUGGAAUUCCCGGUGUAGCGGUGAAAUGCGUAGAGAUCGGGAGGAACACCAGUGGCGAAGGCGGCACCCUGGACCAGCACUGACACUGAGGCACGAAAGCGUGGGGAGCAAAC
rnacentral:rRNA from 1 species